AAUUGGCGGAGCGGCGCCUCUGGCGGCAGCGCUCGUCUUACAAAUUGAUGGCAUCAGGUAGACGACGAAAAGUGUGUGUGAGAUGAAGAGACACAGACAAUCGAAAUGCCUGGUGCCACCACUUCUCUUUCUUCUUU
ensembl:ncRNA C07E3.13 ncRNA